AACUGAUACUACCUGCGGGAACCUGCGGAGGGAUCAUUAGUGAACGCCCUCACGGGCUUAUAACUAUUCCAAACCUCUGUGAACCGUGCCCUUCGGGGCUAUUUUACAAACAUGGUGUAAUGAACGCCAUAUAUCAUAACAAAACAAAACUUUUAGCAAUGGAUCUCU
rnacentral:misc_RNA from 1 species